rnacentral:rRNA from 1 species
UACGAAGGGGGCUAGCGUUGCUCGGAAUCACUGGGCGUAAAGGGUGCGUAGGCGGGUCUUUAAGUCAGGGGUGAAAUCCUGGAGCUCAACUCCAGAACUGCCUUUGAUACUGAAGAUCUUGAGUUCGGGAGAGGUGAGUGGAACUGCGAGUGUAGGGGUGAAAAUUCGUAGAUAUUCGCAAGAACACCAGUGGCGAAGGCGGCUCACUGGCUCGAUACUGACGCUGAGGUGCGAAAGCGUGGGGAGCAAACAGG